rnacentral:rRNA from 1 species
GACGAACGCUGGCGGCGUGCUUAACACAUGCAAGUCGUACGGUAAGGCCCUUUCGGGGGUCCACGAGUGGCGAACGGGUGAGUAACACGUGAGUAACCUGCCCACAACUUUGGGAUAACGCUAGGAAACUGGUGCUAAUACUGGAUAUGUGCUCCUGCUGCAUGGUGGGGGUUGGAAAGCUCCGGCGGUUGUGGAUGGACUCGCGGCCUAUCAGCUUGUUGGUGGGGUAGUGGCCUACCAAGGCGGCGACGGGUAGCCGGCCUGAGAGGGUGACCGGCCACAUUGGGACUGAGAUACGGCCCAGACUCCGACGGGAGGCAGCAGUGGGGAAUAUUGCACAAUGGGCGCAAGCCUGAUGCAGCAACGCCGCGUGCGGGAUGACGGCCUUCGGGUUGUAAACCGCUUUCAGCAGGGACGAAGCUUUUUGUGACGGUACCUGCAGAAGAAGCACCGGCUAACUACGUG